rnacentral:lncRNA from 1 species
CAGCACACAUUUGACUCUGUCACUACACCUGCUUUGGUUAUUUUAUUUCUUUAGUAACAUGACCACAAAAAAGAAGCCAGAGGUGCCCAUGGCUGGGGCAAAGGGCUCCAAGUAAAGAAAUCUGAAGCAAAAAUGCAAAGAAAAGGGUCUUCCUCUGUAACCCAGGCUGGAAGCUUCAGACCCCUCCUGCUCCAGCCUUCCAUGUCCUGGGAUGACAGCGUCUCAGAGUUUCACACAGUGUGAGGGGCACCUUUGAAAAGUGUUAUGGAGAGAAAAGGCUGGUCUGCUGUGGAGCACAUUCAGGGAGCAUCUGGGCUGACUCACCAGUGGCUGAAUAUGUCUACUUGGUAGAUGGAGUGUCUUUUAAAAGCCAGCAGUGAGGAUGCUGUAUUUGAUAGCCACUCAUGUCGUAUUUGUGGGAAAUGCACCAGGACAGAGAAGAGCCUUGCAGUGGUGUGUCUAGCUGCCUUAAAAGGGAGGGAUGGGAUGCAGCCCCAACAAUCUACUUCUGAUUGUCUCAUGCUGGAAGGAGGAACCCCAGAAGCAGGAAGAGGAGCUGGAGGCCUUAGGAGAAAGGCUGGAAAACAUCCAAAAAGUCCAUUAAGAGGCACUGAAGCAAACAGUAACAACAGCAAACCAGCAGACACGGGGUUUCUACCUGAUAGCAGAGUGGCCUGCACUCACUGGGGUCACUGUGGAAAGAUGGAGUCUGUCCCACUGAAGAGCCCCCUCUGAGGAUUCAGAUCCGUCCACCUCAAGGCAUCUGAACCACUCAGAUCCUGGUCUACGCAUAGUGAACCAUGAUCAAGAGGAAAGGAUUUGAGCUGCUGACCUCCAAGUAGUGGUGAACCCAAAGCCAAGACAGUGACAAGGACAGGUACACAGGCCCUGAGAGAAGGCCAAGUUCCUCAUGCCUGAGGUUUCCUGUUCAUUCCCAAAGUAAAGGGCACAGAAACAGAAAAACCAUUCCAAAUGGGGCCAAGGCAAUCUACAAUAAAAGCAAAACACAAAACAAACACAAAACAAAAGCUUCACAGUUGACAUGCGCCCUUAGGAGUUGUAAAACACGGCUAUAAAAUUGGUGGGGAUGGGGGAGAAGACUAAGUCUUAGUUUCUUAGCAGAAAUUAGGCAGUUCUAUCAUCGAAUAUAAGAAAGACUUUUGUGAGGAGCGGGUGUGGCGGCAGUCCCAAAGGC